CACGUAGGGGGCAAGCGUUGUCCGGAUUUAUUGGGCGUAGAGAGCUCGUAGGUGGUUCGGUAAGUCGGGUGUUAAACCCCCAGGCUCAACCUGGGGACGCCACUCGAUACUGCUGUGACUAGAGUCCGGUAGGGGAGCGUGGAAUUCCUGGUGUAGCGGUGAAAUGCGCAGAUAUCAGGAGGAACACCAGCGGCGAAGGCGGCGCUCUGGGCCGGUACUGACACUGAGGAGCGAAAGCGUGGGUAGCAAACAGG
rnacentral:rRNA from 1 species